CCUACGGGUGGCAGCAGUAGGGAAUUUUCCACAAUGGGGGCAACCCUGAUGGAGCAACGCCGCGUGCAGGAUGAAUGCCUUCGGGUUGUAAACUGCUUUUAUAUGUGACGAAUAUGACGGUAGCAUAUGAAUAAGGAUCGGCUAACUCCGUGCCAGCAGCCGCGGUCAUACGGAGGAUCCAAGCGUUAUCCGGAAUUACUGGGCGUAAAGAGUUGCGUAGGUGGCAUAGUAAGUAGAUAGUGAAAGCCUGGGGCUCAACCCCUUCAACAUUAUCUAAACUGCUAAGCUAGAAGAUGAGAGAGGUAGAUGGAAUUUCUAGUGUAGGAGUGAAAUCCGUAGAUAUUAGAAGGAACACCGAUGGCGUAGGCAGUCUACUGGCUCAUUCUUGACACUAAGGCACGAAAGCGUGGGGAGCAAACGGGAUUAGAUACCCUAGUAGU
rnacentral:rRNA from 1 species